UUUGAUUGGUCUACUGUGUAUAGAAUGACUAAUCAAAUCAAUCUUCUCAUUUCAUCCUUAUCAGGAGUGACUGAUUAAUUUCCGGUUGCAGACAAAAAAAAGGGAAAACUAUCUCACAUUCGAAAUGACUGAUUUUUUGUGGGCAGUGAAGAAUGGCGACCUUGGCGCGGUACAGAGUUUUGUACAAGAGGUAAAGGCAGCCAUUAUAUACGCCUAUUACUUCAAAUCUUGACUGAAAUUAACUCAGUGAAGUGAAGAUAGGAUAUGGAUAAUUUUUCACUCCUACUUCAGUAUAACUUUGUUGUUGCACAGGGUUAAAGCUUGAGCUAACUACUAAGGCAUUUUUUUCAUGUGGUUUUAAGGGAGAUUCCCCCUUCCCUUCCGGAC
rnacentral:lncRNA from 1 species